AAUCAGAAAACAUUCAGUAUUGACUUCUUACUAUAUAAUGUAUGAAUCCAGAUACAAACAACCCGAUAUUUGUUUGUUUGUUUACUCUGCAGAGCUGCCAGCAGGGUCAAGGUGGCUGCUCCGGUAAUGUGAGUGACUCUCAGGCUGCAGAGGACAUGACUGUCUUCAGAUAUUACUGAUGUCAGGAACCACUCGUCUCCUGGGGAUGCAUUAGGAGAUUACAUGGUUCACUACCAGGGUCUCAGCAUGCAAAGUGAUGAAUUCAUUUCCUGCUGCGUCCGCCCCUCCACAACAAACCACAGCAGUCUGAACUUGGUUAACGGUGAUGGGCCUUAAAUGUCAGCUGUCGUACGGCACAAUCACACCUGCAGCAGAGCAGAAUAUCAAUAAAACAAUACUUCUUCUUCAGUAAAAACUAGCCCAAAGUCAAAGCUAGAUGUGGCUGGCUAACCUUAGCUUGUUUGCUCGCUAUCCCUCGGAAAAUACAAUCUUAGUGGAUAUGUUAGUUGGUGAUACUAACUUACGUAUUCUGAUUUUAGCCAACAAUAAUUGAUGUAGCAGUACAAAGCUAACGAUAGCUUUCUAUUAGCCAAGAGUGAUGCGAGGGAGGGGCAUCCAGCUAACUAACUGUAAGCUGGGGUUGUCCACCGGUGUGGGUCUGGCUUUGGUUGCGAGCUAGUUAGUAGCAUGAAGCUAAUGGUCCAAAUAAAAUAUAGGAACACUGCCGAUAGUAAAGUUAUAUAUAAAACCCUCCUGCUUCACAAAUAUUUGCCAAAGGUCAAGAUUAAUGUUCAGUCAUCUGGCAGCUGGCUGCUAACAGGAUACAGAAGCUGCACGCGGCCGACGCUAAUGUGACUAAUUUGGAGGCAGUCGGGGGGGGGGUUGACGGAUGGAUCCAGAUUCCUGCUCCUGUACUAAAGCAAACAAUGAUUGUCCUGAAAAGCCUGCUCGUAUUUUUAGGGCCUGACUGUGUUUUUACGUAACGGGUCACAGUAAUAAGAAUAGCUCCAUCAAUCACUGGGGCAGCGCCGUCCAAACGUUCUGGGAACGCUGGGAUCAGAAAACAGCUCAUUGUGCCAGAGAGGCCCGACUGGCCAAGACCACGUUUCCACUUCGACUGUCCAAAAGAACGCUUCAAGUUCUGGAUACCAGAGGAGUACUUAGUUCUAGUUUACUUUACUUUUAUAGUAUUUUAGUUUCAGGAGACUUUUCACUCUAUUAAUGUGAUUAAUGUGAUUAAUGUGAUUAAUCUGUUGUUACUUUAUAGUUCCACACUGUAAAACCAGAUAUGUUAGCUCAACUCAAACUCACUAAAGGAAACUCAAACUCAAAUAAAUGAAGCAGUACUCAUUGUUGAGGUAAAUUAAUCUGAUUGUACUAAUUACAUUUAGUUCAUUAAAGUUACUCUCAUAUGCAGCAUUUCUCCAAACUUAUUUAAAAUGUGUGAAUAUCUGAAUAAAGUCACUUAAAUGCAUCUUCACCG
rnacentral:lncRNA from 1 species